rnacentral:rRNA from 1 species
CGGAGGGGGCUAGCGUUGUUCGGAAUUACUGGGCGUAAAGCGCACGUAGGCGGUUUCUCAAGUCAGAGGUGAAAGCCCGGAGCUCAACUCCGGAAUUGCCUUUGAAACUAGGUGACUUGAAUCAUGGAGAGGUCAGUGGAAUUCCGAGUGUAGAGGUGAAAUUCGUAGAUAUUCGGAAGAACACCAGUGGCGAAGGCGGCUGACUGGACAUGUAUUGACGCUGAGGUGCGAAAGCGUGGGGAGCAAACAGG